rnacentral:tmRNA from 1 species
GGGGCUGACCGGAUUUGACGGCAAGCCGGAGUGAGGUGUAAGCACGCGGAGCAGUGUAUGUUCUCUCCUUAAACAGAAUGUACAGAAAAUUAAUUGGCAACAACAGAUUUGCUCUCGCUGCUUGAUCGAAGAACAGUAGAUCGGCUCAAUCCCACUACUAGGUAGAGGGACGAGACAUCGCUCAAGGAUUCUUUUUCCGAAAUGCCUUGAUUCAGCGGUGCUCGCAAUUCGGAAAUAGUGGCAUCAGGUCUCGAUGAUGUCAUGAAACUUCAGAGACUAAGGCAACGGUUGGUGGUCCGGGUCUUGCCGUUGCUCGAAAACUCAAGGCCGGAAUAAGCGUGUAGAAAGCAUCUUGUUUCCUUGUUCGGACGAGGGUUCGACUCCCUCCAGCUCCAC